rnacentral:lncRNA from 1 species
AAUUAGUUAUGAAUUUUUUAAUCUUCAAAGGUCUUCAGGGGACAUCAGUGGCGGGCUCAGAUGUAAGGCCCGCCACUGAUGUGUGUUUUGGUGAAUUUUGCAACUUUUUGCAUUGGGCCAUUAGUAACGGGCAUCCCGAGCCCGUCACUGAUGAGGGGGCCUUUCCCACCCGCCACGGAUGAGGGGCCAUCAGUGACGGAUUUUGUGCGCCCGUCACUGAUGAGGGGUCAUCGGUGGCAGGUUUUGUGCGUCCGUCACUGACGAGGGGUCAUCGGUGGCGGGCGGGAAAGGCCCGUUACUGAUGAGGGGUUAUCAGUGACGGGCUCGGGACGCCCGUCACUGAUGACUCGUCACUCUUAUGUUGUGUUUUGUAGUAGUGGGUAUAGUAGCCACUCUCUCAUUAGUCCGGCUUUUAGGAUGAGGAGGGCUCUUUAGUUAUAUGGUUGCGCCGGAUGCGCAUGAACGCCUGAAGCCCUUAACACCACACGAGUGUGUAGAGCUGGGCCUGGGACACUGACAAGUUGUGAGAUCGUUGCUUCAUCGAUAAAUGUUUAAAAAAACAAAAAAAAUAAUACCAAAAGACCAGUUACGAAAACCACGACGCCUGAACUAGGAUGAGAACGAAAUCAGGACACCAAUUUUUAGACGAACCUUGCAAAGCAUGUACCACCUGGACUCUGAUAUCACCAGUAUGCCCAAUAAAUCAGUGUAUCCGACCGCAUGCAUCAAUUAGAGCCCAACCGAAAACAAAACUUACACUCACGCUUAUAAGUCGAUCCCUACAUCCUCCCGUAACCAAGUGGAAGUAAAAUCCACAAUGCAAUAAUGAACUGCUAGGCGGAUUGGAGUGCGGAGACCUCAGCCAUACAUAUCCUUGUUAUUUCGAAAAGUUGUAAUAUAAAAAAUGCUGAUGAAUGCGAACGUGAAGGUGUAAAGCAUGUUGUUACUCCCAAUAAUUUUUCUUAUGGUUUUCAUAGUGCACUUUGCUUAUCUUAAAGGUCGGAGAGACACUGUGUCCUAACACACCAAGCAUUUUCGACGGAACCUUGGGUGUCCGAUUCAAUGUAAACUACACCGAAGCCGGGUUCAUGAAUCACGAACAUUGCGCAGAAGAGGACAAUCCGGCAAACCCGACGGUGGUUGCGUGCCCCGCCGCCGAACGACACUAGUAAAAUCCAUUGGUCUGCAUACUCAGUUAGAUUAGAUUAAGGCAUCAAGCCCCCAGAUGGCUGAUUCGGCGCGAGGGGCGCCCCCAUGUGUUCCGGGUUCGUGGCUGGCCGCGCGCGCGUCGCCAUCUCACGCACGUAUACAUAUGUUUUUGUUGCCCCCGAUCU